GUAGGAGAGCGUUCGAUGGGCGAAGAAGCUGGACCGUCAGGACCAGUGGAGCGCAUCGAAGUGAGACUGCCGGUAUGAGUAGCGAAAGACGGGUGAGAAUCCCGUCCACCGAAUGACGAAGGUUUCCUGGGGAAGGCUCGUCCACCCAGGGUUAGUCGGGACCUAAGCUGAGGCCGAAUGGCGUAAGCGAUGGUCAACAGGUUGAUAUUCCUGUACUUCUUUCUUUCGUUUGACUGACGGAAGGACGCAGGAGGCAAAGAGUAGCGCGCUGCUGGACUAGCGCGUCCAAGCUAGGAGCUAGGUGAGGAGUAAAAGGCUUCGCACCGACGGUGACUAGUGAUGGGGAGGGAAGAAUAGUACCGAAGGAUCGGCGUCACACUGCCAAGAAAAAUUUCUAGGG
rnacentral:rRNA from 1 species